UACGAAGGGGGCUAGCGUUGUUCGGAAUUACUGGGCGUAAAGCGCACGUAGGCGGGUUUGUAAGUAGGGGGGUGAAAUCCCAGGGCUCAACCCUGGAACUGCCUUCUAAACUGCAAGCCUGGAGGUCAGGAGAGGCGAGUGGAAUACCGAGUGUAGAGGUGAAAAUUCGUAGAUAUUCGGUGGAACACCAGUGGCGAAGGCGACUCGCUGGACUGAUACUGACGCUGAGGUGCGAAAGCGUGGGGAGCAAACAGG
rnacentral:rRNA from 1 species